rnacentral:rRNA from 1 species
AUGACAAAUCUGGUUCGAUGGCUCUUCGGUGGGAACCUACUAACUGGGGUUUUUUGGGGGGCUAUUCUAAUAGUUCUAGUAGCAACCGCUUUAGUAUUUUUGGUUUCCGUUUCUUUCUCUGGCUCUUGGAUAGCACCAGAACAACUUUUCGAAUGGCUUCUCUCGCUUUCACAGUAUGUUUAUCACAUUCUUAGGGCCAUUUUGGAAGAAACCUGGAAUGGACGUGACCGCUGUGCGACCAUGGGAGGGACGGAACUGGAAAGUCCUGCCCGUUCGGGGGAUAAAACGUACAAAGCCCCACACGUGAAUCUAAUGCUAUCAUCAUCUAGUGAUAGCGUUAACCAAGGGGGUGGGAGCAAUGAAACUCCUUUAACUAUUGACUUGAACCGACCGGCUCAGGAUCAGGAAGAUAUUCGGCAAUAUGCCGAAUCAAUCAAGGACUUUAGAAUUGACGAGCAAUUUGAGAGUUUCAAAAACAAUCAAUUCACUAAACCGCUCUAUGAUAAAUUAUGUGCCUACGUGGAAGAUGCGGAGGCUGUAAAAAACACAUGCAUACGAGAAAUCUCGGAGAACUUUCAUUCAACAGACGCUGGGUUAAUUGAUUUUGUCAAGCAGACGGAUGACAGUGAAGGGCAAAGAAGAGUGAUAUUUGAUCUUAUCAACCUUCAUUUUAAGGAUGAGCUAGAGAAACUCCCACCCGAACUCCAACAAAAUGAAAAUCAAGAGGACGACGGGGAGGGAUAA